GACCUCCCUCAGGCCUGGUGAGGGAGCUGAGACAGGUCCACACCCGGCCUCAACCAGGCGUGGCUUGCUACGGAGAGAUGUACUGUACUCAUGCUCUGAUAUGGGGUAAUCAGGAGAACCACCACCACCUCCCUGCUGGCAUCUCCAGCCAUAAAGAAAAGGGAAAGUUUGAGUGUGAGAAGAUUUGAGACUGAGAGCAAGUUCACAAGACACAGCCUUGCACUCACUGGUGAAGGAAAACAUGAGUGCCAAGAGUGUGGGAAAAGACUCCCUGGGAAGGGUGACCUCAACAAAUACACCCACACACUCUGGUGGAAGACCUCAUGAAUGCCAAGAGUGUGGCAAAGUGUUCAGUAAGAAGAGUCACCUCAACAGACACACCCUUACACACACUGGUGAAAGACCUCAUAAAUGCCAAGAGUGUGGUAAAGUGUUCAGUGAGAAGAGUAAUCUCAAGGAACACACUCUUACACACACUGGUGAAAAACCUCAUGAAUGCCAAGAGUGUGGCAAAGUGUUUAGUAGGAAGAGUAACCUCAACACACACACCUUUACACACACUGGUGAAAAACCUCAUGAAUGCCAAGAGUGUGGCAAAGUGUUUAGUAGGAAGAGUACCCUCAACACACACACCCUUACACACACUGGUGAAAGACCUCAUGAAUGCCUUAAGUGUGGCAAAUGGUUCAGUAUAAAGAGUGACCUGAAUAGACACAUACUUACACACACUGGUGUAAGACCUCAUGAAUGCCUUGAGUGUGACAAAAGGUUCUCUUCUAAGUCUGCUUUGAACAAACAUGCCAUCAAACACUCUGAUCUGAGAGAGUUCAAGUGUGAUGUUUGUGGGAAUUAUUUCAAGACCAAGCGGAAUAUUACCAAACACAUGAAGAUCCACUUCCCCUGAGGUGCGUUGUGUUGUGCUGCUGUGCUGCCAUAUGUGGGGUGGUGAAGGACAGUGUUUGACAUCCCUGCCCUGACAGGCCUGACAACAUGGCUUCCUUUAUGUGUCUACACCAGGUAAGCCUGCUGCCUGUGACAUUAACUUGGUGUUAGGCGAUUUCAUUGCACGCGACUCCUUCAUGAAGAACAAGAAACAGUGAAGAUGAAAAGUGAAAGAAAGAAAGACAGACAGAGGGAUGGAGGGACAGCAAAAACAGAAAAGAAAGAAAGGAAAAAAGUAGACAAGAAAAUAUUAUGAAAAAGCAUGAUCAAAAAUAAAAGGAAUGGAGGAAAGGAAGAUGUUAGGGAAGAAGAUGAAGAGAAAUAGAAGAAAUCAUGAAAGAAAAGAAGGAAGAAAAAAAUAGGAAAAUGAAGAAAGAACAAGACAAAGAAAAAAGAAAAGAAAACUGUAGUCCAUCAAUACAUCUGGUAAAUUGGCUGGUUACUAUUACUAUAUAAUAAUUAACUAAGGUUAUAGAUGAAAGGCUAGUGAAAUGUAAGAGGGCAGGGAAUGGAAUCACUUACCCUCCGUCACCUUAGUCACCCAAGCUUGUAACUGAUUAAUAAACAAAACUAAAUGUUAA